GAUCAUGGGCUCAGGAUAAACGCUGGCGGCGCACAUAAGACAUGCAAGUCGAACGGAAGUCGUUGUAAUGAUAUAGACAUGGACUGAGAACUUGUUCAAAGAAAGUGAAAGUUGACUUACAACAAUGGCUUUAGUGGCGGACUGGUGAGUAACACGUAAGCAACCUGCCUAUCAGAGGGGAACAACAGUUAGAAAUGACUGCUAAUACCGCAUAUACCUAAGUAUCGCAUGG
rnacentral:rRNA from 1 species